CCUCCUCACUCCACCCUGAGUUUCUGCUGUUGUAACUCUAGCUACUUUGGGCUUGUUCUCUGGUCUCCUGCUGCACAGAUGGGUCUGUGUGUCCCCAGCCCUGAAAGGGGCCUCCAGGAAGGCAAACUGCUGAUUGUUAGCCUUCAGAAACAGAUCUUGGCUCUGGACUGGGAUAGGGGCUGGGCCGGUGGUGGCGGCAGUGAUAGAUCUGUAACCUCAGAUCUCGCCACACCUUGUCCAUGUGAAUGGUCACCUCUCCAGGUAUGGGCUCAGGUGGAGGUGGCAGGUCAUGAGGGUAGGGGCGGCAGGACCAUUGCUACUCUCCCAUUUCUUUCUCCUCAUAUUCCUUUGCCCAAGUCACGAAAACACAGAGCUUAGAGCAUUCUGCAGCCACUGAGAGACCUCAGCUGUUCUCUCUCGGUUCCAGUGGGAUCGAGACAUGACACAGAGGCAUUCUGAAAGGGUGCUGGCCUUGUCUUCUUCCAGACUCUCUGAUUGGCUCCUUGGCAUUGUGGCCACUGCAAGCCCUGGUGUGAGGACAGAGGGACACCCCCAUUCCCUCCCCGUGUCCACCGGCAACAGCUGAUACCUCUGAGGGCUGCCCCACUGCCCUCCAGUCACUGGUCACUGCGUCCAGGCCAGCUGUGCCCUGGGGGGAGGUACCAGGCCCUCUCAGACCCAGGCAUUUAACUAUGCCCUCUGCCCAGGGCUCAGCCCUCCCCAGGUUCCUGAUGUCCCGAGUCUUGUGAUGUCACCUCAGGUCCUAUGACUUGCCCUGCCCCACACAGGAGGGACCUUGUCCUUGAAGACUUUGGCCUUUCUCUAGAUGCUCUGGUCAGUGUGGCAGGUGGUGUCAGGUGGCAGUGGACCAUGGGGAGGCUCGGAGGCUGAUCUGGGACCGGGGGAGGGGUACCACUCUGCCCUGUGUGGCUGGCUCUGGAUGUAGGUGCAAUGAGUCACGCCUUG
rnacentral:lncRNA from 1 species